rnacentral:rRNA from 1 species
UACGUAGGGUGCAAGCGUUGUCCGGAAUUAUUGGGCGUAAAGAGCUCGUAGGCGGUCUGUCGCGUCGGCUGUGAAAACUCGGGGCUCAACCCCGAGCCUGCAGUCGAUACGGGCAGACUAGAGUGCGGUAGGGGAGACUGGAAUUCCUGGUGUAGCGGUCGAAAUGCGCAGAUAGUCAGGAAGAACACCGGCGGCGAAGGCGGGUCUCUGGGCCGUAACUGACGCUGAGGAGCGAAAGCGUGGGGAGCGAACAGG